CCCCGGCCGGCCGGACCGGCGCGACGGUGGUAACACGUAUGAAACCUGCCCGUAGCAGGGGGAUAAGCGGAAGAAAUUCCGUCUAAUACCGCGUAACAACCCAUGGAGGCAUCUCUGUGGGUUUAAAGGAAGCGAUUCCGGCUACGGAUGGUCAUGCGUCGCAUUAGCUUGUUGGCGGGGUAACGGCCCACCAAGGCGACGAUGCGUAGGGGUUCUGAGAGGAAGGUCCCCCACACUGGUACUGAGACACGGACCAGACUCCUACGGAAGGCAGCAG
rnacentral:rRNA from 1 species